rnacentral:lncRNA from 1 species
UGCAUGCACGACACUUCCCUUUACUCCAGGAACGGCCGACAAUGCUGUAAAGUCAAGAUGUUGUUACGGCUCUCCCCAUCUCUUUUUCCAGCCAAGUCCAUUCAGACAUAAUUGUUGGAUUUGAGAGGGAAAUGGGAACUAUGAGACCCAGGAAUGUUCGUGGGUAACAGUGACAAUUCCGGCAAGGAUCAGUGGCUUCCGGUAAAGGACGGCCACCAGGAAGGAGAGAGAAGACAAGCUCUGCUGGUUUAGCGGUGGCGAGUGUGUGCACGGUCAGAUUGUCAACGGGACGGGGAGCACGUCGGGUCUGCAGAGGGACCUGGAAAUCAGGCAUCAGCGAUUCCUGCCCACCUGACAAGCAGUGUGGAGUGCUGACUCUGUGCUGGGAGGCGUGAGAUGCAGGGAAUCUGUGGAGAACAAGGGUCCCCAUCAUCACAGAGCUUACGGUCUAAUGCGGAAAAACCCAAAUUCUUGUGAGAAGUCGUGCCCGAGAAGUCUGAUUUCUCUUCUGAGUGAGAGUUGGUGUAUUCUCG